rnacentral:rRNA from 1 species
UUCGUAGGGGGCAAGCGUUAUCCGGAUUUACUGGGUGUAAAGGGAGCGUAGACGGCUUUGCAAGCCAGAUGUGAAAGCCCGGGGCUCAACCCCGGGACUGCAUUUGGAACUGUGUGGCUAGAGUGUCGGAGAGGCAGGCGGAAUUCCUAGUGUAGCGGUGAAAUGCGUAGAUAUUAGGAGGAACACCAGUGGCGAAGGCGGCCUGCUGGACGAUGACUGACGUUGAGGCUCGAAAGCGUGGGGAGCAAACAGG